GGGCCCGCACAAGCGGAGGAACAUGUGGUUUAAUUCGAUGAUACGCGAGGAACCUUACCCGGGAUUAAAUGCUGAGUGCAUAACGGUGAAAGCCGUUUUCUCUUCGGAGCUUUCAGCAAGGUGCUGCAUGGUUGUCGUCAGCUCGUGCCGUGAGGUGUCGGGUUAAGUCCCAUAACGAGCGCAACCCCUACCGUUAGUUGCCAUCAGUUUAAGCUGGGCACUCUGACGGGACUGCCACCGUAAGGUGAGAGGAAGGUGGGGAUGACGUCAAAUCAGCACGGCCCUUACAUCCGGGGCGACACACGUGUUACAAUGGCCGGUACAGAGGGCAGCUACCAGGUGACUGGAUGCGAAUCUCGAAACCGGUCUCAGUUCGGAUCGAAGUCUGCAACCCGACUUCGUGAAGUUGGAUUCGCUAGUAAUCGCGCAUCAGCCAUGGCG
rnacentral:rRNA from 1 species